rnacentral:rRNA from 1 species
CGAAGCAAUUUGGCAGAAGUUUUCGGAUGGAAGCUGGAUUGACUGAGUGGCGGACGGGUGAGUAACGCGUGGGUAACCUGCCUCACACUGGGGGACAACAGUUAGAAAUGACUGCUAAUACCGCAUAAGCGCACAGGACCGCAUGGUCCGGUGUGAAAAACUCCGGUGGUGUGAGAUGGACCCGCGUUUGAUUAGCUAGUUGGUGGGGUAACGGCCUACCAAGGCGACGAUCAAUAGCCGACCUGAGAGGGUGACCGGCCACAUUGGGACUGAGAUACGGCCCAAACUCCUACGGGAGGCAGCAGUGGGGAAUAUUGCACAAUGGGGGAAACCCUGAUGCAGCGACGCCGCGUGAGUGAAGAAGUAUUUCGGUAUGUAAAGCUCUAUCAGCAGGGAAGAAAAUGACGGUACCUGACUAAGAAGCCCCGGCUAACUACGUGCCAGCAGCCGCGGUAAUACGUAGGGGGCAAGCGUUAUCCGGAUUUACUGGGUGUAAAGGGAGCGUAGACGGUAAAGCAAGUCUGAAGUGAAAGCCCGGGGCUCAACCCCGGGACUGCUUUGGAAACUGUUUAACUAGAGUGCUGGAGAGGUAAGCGGAAUUCCUAGUGUAGCGGUGAAAUGCGUAGAUAUUAGGAGGAACACCAGUGGCGAAGGCGGCUUACUGGA